UACGUAGGAUCCAAGCGUUGUCCGGAUUUACUGGGUGUAAAGGGUGCGCAGGCGGACUUGUGCGUCAGAGGUUAAAGACCACGGCUUAACUGUGGAAAUGCCUUUGAUACGGCAAGUCUUGAGUGUGAGAGAGGAUAGUAGAAUUCCUGGUGUAGCGGUGAAAUGCGUAGAUAUCAGGAGGAAUACCCGUGGCGAAGGCGGCUAUCUGGCUCAUUACUGACGCUCAGGCACGAAAGCGUGAGGAUCAAACAGG
rnacentral:rRNA from 1 species